AGUGAACGCUGGCGGUAGGCCUAACACAUGCAAGUCGAACGGCAGCACAGGAGAGCUUGCUCUCUGGGUGGCGAGUGGCGGACGGGUGAGGAACACAUCGGAAUCUACUCUGUCGUGGGGGAUAACGUAGGGAAACUUACGCUAAUACCGCAUACGACCUACGGGUGAAAGCAGGGGACCUUCGGGCCUUGCGCGAUUGAAUGAGCCGAUGUCGGAUUAGCUAGUUGGCGGGGUAAAGGCCCACCAAGGCGACGAUCCGUAGCUGGUCUGAGCGGAGGAUCAGCCACACUGGAACUGAGACACGGUCCAGACUCCUACGGGAGGCAGCAGUGGGGAAUAUUGGACAAUGGGCGCAAGCCUGAUCCAGCCAUACCGCGUGGGUGAAGAAGGCCUUCGGGUUGUAAAGCCCUUUUGUUGGGAAAGAAAUCCAGCUGGCUAAUACCCGGUUGGGAUGACGGUACCCAAAGAAUAAGCACCGGCUAACUCCGUGCCAGCCGCCGCCGUAA
rnacentral:rRNA from 1 species